rnacentral:rRNA from 1 species
UAUUAAAGUUGUUGCGGUUAAAAAGCUCGUAGUUGAAUCUGUGUCUCGCGCUGUCGGUUCACCGCCCGCGGUGUCAAACUGGCACGCUCGCGAGACGUCCUGCCGGUGGGACGACGUCGACCGUGGUGCGGCGCCGCGAGGCGCUCGCGCCCGGCCGGCCAGUCCCGACUCACGAUCCUGUCGCGGUGCUCUUCGCUGAGUGUCGAGGCGGGCCGGCACGUUUACUUUGAACAAAUUAGAGUGCUCAAAGCAGGCUAAAACUUCGCCUGAAUACUGUGUGCAUGGAAUAAUGGAACAGGACCUCGGUUCUAUUUUGUUGGUUUUCGGAACCCCGAGGUAAUGAUUAAUAGGGACAGAUGGGGGCAUUCGUAUUGCGACGUUAGAGGUGAAAUUCUUGGACGUCGCAAGACGGACAGAAGCGAAAGCAUUUGCCAAAAAUGUUUUCAUUAAUCAAGAACGAAAGUCAGAGGUUCGAAGGCGAUCAGAUACCGCCCUAGUUCUGACCAUAAACGAUGCCAGCUAGCGAUCCGCCGACGUUCCUCCGAUGACUCGGCGGGCAGCUUACGGGAAACCAAAGCUUUUGGGUUCCGGGGGAAGUAUGGUUGCAAAGCUGAAACUUAAAGGAAUUGACGGAAGGGCACCACCAGGAGUGGAGCCUGCGGCUUAAUUUGACUCAACACGGGAAACCUCACCAGGCCCGGACACCGGAAGGAUUGACAGAUUGAGAGCUCUUUCUUGAUUCGGUGGGUGGUGGUGCAUGGCCGUUCUUAGUUGGUGGACCGAUUUGUCUGGUUAAUUCCGAUAACGAACGAGACU